CGAACUCUGGUAUUGAUUGGUGCUUGCAUCAUGAUUUACAUUUGAGUGAGUGGCGAACUGGUGAGUAACACGUGGGAAACCUGCCCAGAAGCGGGGGAUAACACCUGGAAACAGAUGCUAAUACCGCAUAACAACUUGGACCGCAUGGUCCGAGCUUGAAAGAUGGCUUCGGCUAUCACUUUUGGAUGGUCCCGCGGCGUAUUAGCUAGAUGGUGGGGUAACGGCUCACCAUGGCAAUGAUACGUAGCCGACCUGAGAGGGUAAUCGGCCACAUUGGGACUGAGACACGGCCCAAACUCCUACGGGAGGCAGCAGUAGGGAAUCUUCCACAAUGGACGAAAGUCUGAUGGAGCAACGCCGCGUGAGUGAAGAAGGGUUUCGGCUCGUAAAACUCUGUUGUUAAAGAAGAACAUAUCUGAGAGUAACUGUUCAGGUAUUGACGGUAUUUAACCAGAAAGCCACGGCUAACUACGUGCCAGCAGCCGCGGUAAUACGUAGGUGGCAAGCGUUGUCCGGAUUUAUUGGGCGUAAAGCGAGCGCAGGCGGUUUUUUAAGUCUGAUGUGAAAGCCUUCGGCUCAACCGAAGAAGUGCAUCGGAAACUGGGAAACUUGAGUGCAGAAGAGGACAGUGGAACUCCAUGUGUAGCGGUGAAAUGCGUAGAUAUAUGGAAGAACACCAGUGGCGAAGGCGGCUGUCUGGUCUGUAACUGACGCUGAGGCUCGAAAGUAUGGGUAGCAAACAGGAUUAGAUACCCUGGUAGUCCAUACCGUAAACGAUGAAUGCUAAGUGUUGGAGGGUUUCCGCCCUUCAGUGCUGCAGCUAACGCAUUAAGCAUUCCGCCUGGGGAGUACGGCCGCAAGGCUGAAACUCAAAGGAAUUGACGGGGGCCCGCACAAGCGGUGGAGCAUGUGGUUUAAUUCGAAGCUACGCGAAGAACCUUACCAGGUCUUGACAUACUAUGCAAAUCUAAGAGAUUAGACGUUCCCUUCGGGGACAUGGAUACAGGUGGUGCAUGGUUGUCGUCAGCUCGUGUCGUGAGAUGUUGGGUUAAGUCCCGCAACGAGCGCAACCCUUAUUAUCAGUUGCCAGCAUUAAGUUGGGCACUCUGGUGAGACUGCCGGUGACAAACCGGAGGAAGGUGGGGAUGACGUCAAAUCAUCAUGCCCCUUAUGACCUGGGCUACACACGUGCUACAAUGGAUGGUACAACGAGUUGCGAACUCGCGAGAGUAAGCUAAUCUCUUAAAGCCAUUCUCAGUUCGGAUUGUAGGCUGCAACUCGCCUACAUGAAGUCGGAAUCGCUAGUAAUCGCGGAUCAGCAUGCCGCGGUGAAUACGUUCCCGGGCCUUGUACACACCGCCCGUCACACCAUGAGAGUUUGUAACACCCAAAGUCGGUGGGGUAACCUUUUAGGAACCAGCC
rnacentral:rRNA from 2 species